rnacentral:ncRNA from 1 species
AAAAAGUUUGAUUUUAGCUUAAAAAUUUAGUUUAUUAUUUUAUAUUAUAUGUAAAUUUUUGUAUUUUAAUUUAAUAAUUUAAAAAAUUAUUAAAUAAAUUAAGUACGCAGUAAUUAAUUUUAAAAAAUUAAAUAAUUUUAGAUUUAGAAAUUUAUAUAAUAAGUAAAAAUAGAAUAAAAUUGUGCCAGCAUUCGCGGUUAUACAAUUUAUUUAAUUAAAUUUAUUUAUUAUUUUAUUAAUAAUUAUAUAUAUAUAUAUAUAUAUAUAUAUAUUAAUUUUAUUAAUUUAAUAAUUUUAUUCUAAGGUGAAAUUUGUAAUUAAAAAAAAAAUUAUUUAAUUUUAUUAAAAUUUAAUAAAUUAUUAAAAUAGACUAGGAUUAGAUACCCUAUUAUUAAUAACAUAAUUAAAAUUAUAUAAUUAUUAUAAAUUAUUAUAUAAAUUAUAAUGGAAUAUUAAUAGUUAAGUUCUUUAAAUUUAAAAAAUUUGGCGGUAUUUUAUCUAAUUAGGGGAACUUGUUUAUUAAACGAUAUUCCGCGAGGAACCUUACUUUUAUUAAAAAUUUAUGUAUUUCCGUUAUAAGAAAAUUUUUAGAGAAUUAUAAAAAUUUUCUUAAUUUUAUUAAUUUAAAAUUAUUUCAGGUCAAAGUGUAGUUUAUAUAAGAGUAUAAAAUGAGUUACAAUAAAAUUUAUUUAUUAUGAAUAUUAAUUUGAAAUAAUUAAUUAAAGGUGGACUUAAUAGUAAAUAUAAAUAGAAUAUUAUAUUGAAUGUAGAUCUAAAAUAUGUACAUAUUGCCCGUCACUCUCAUUUUAAAAUGAGAUAAGUCGUAACAAAGUAGAAUUACUGGAAAGUGUUUCUAGAAAGAUAAUUUUU